rnacentral:lncRNA from 1 species
GGAGGGAAAGAGUAAGGAAGACAGGUCUGUUUACAUGUGAAGGGCCAAUAAAUCAAUUACUAUGGGUUAUUGGGGGCUGGCAGGCUGCGGAACAGAUUGAGCUACAAAGAGAUGAAGUGACACACGAAGAGAUCCAUGCCAGCCAUGCAGAGUGCGGUCUCCUGAAAUUCACCACAGCUUCACCUUCCUCUCGAGGCACCUCCGAGAAUUUAUGACUUGCCACGCAUAUGCGCCAAGAUAUAAAAUCAAAUAAACUGCUCUUUCCUUCAGAA